CAGUCGCCGCGGGAAUACGAAGGGGGCUAGCGUUGCUCGGAAUUACUGGGCGUAAAGGGAGCGUAGGCGGAUUGUUUAGUCAGAGGUGAAAGCCCAGGGCUCAACCUUGGAAUUGCCUUUGAUACUGGCAGUCCUGAGUACGGAAGAGGUAUGUGGAACUCCGAGUGUAGAGGUGAAAUUCGUAGAUAUUCGGAAGAACACCAGUGGCGAAGGCGACAUACUGGUCCGUUACUGACGCUGAGGCUCGAAAGCGUGGGGAGCAAACAGGAUUAGAUACCCGAGUAGUCCCUGUCUCUUAUAC
rnacentral:rRNA from 1 species